UGGAUGUCCGAAGAACAGCGUUGGAGCACCUGUUGGAGCUCUAUGGAAAGUCCUCGGACGAUGCCGAAAGGGCAGUCUUAAAUGACUUCUUUCAUCAUCGAGAUAGAAUAAUGCUGUUAGGUAUGGGUCUGCCCAACUGAAUGAGGCUUACUCUCGGGCAUCU
rnacentral:RNase_MRP_RNA from 2 species